AAGCAUCCGUAGCCGGCUAUGCAAGUCUCCGGUUAAAUCCACCUGCUUAACAGAUGGGCCGCUGGAGAUACUACAGAGCUAGGGAGUGGGAGAGGCCCCCCGUAUUCGGGGGGUAGGGGUAAAAUCCUCUGAUCCUCCGAGGACCACCAGUGGCGAAGGCGGUCUGCCAGAACACGUUCGACGGUGAGGGAUGAAAGCUGGGGGAGCAAACCGGAUUAGAUACCCGGGUAGUCCCAGCUGUAAACGAUGCAAACUCGGUGAUGCAUUGGCUUAUGGCCAAUGCAGUGCCGCAGGGAAGCCGUUAAGUUUGCCGCCUGGGAAGUACGGACGCAAGUCUGAAACUUAAAG
rnacentral:rRNA from 1 species